rnacentral:ncRNA from 1 species
UGAUAUAAAAAUAAUAUUGGUUAAAAUUAUCAAACAAAAAUUGAUAUUUUUAUUAAAAAGGAAGUUAGGUGAAAUUCCUACACAGUGCCGCUACUGUAAUUAGGGAAUGCUGAUUCAAAAUACACCAUUGAACAUAACCAUGUUUGAGAAGGAGAAUCAGUGUACUGAUCUAUAAGUCAGGAGACUUGCCAUUAUUAUAAUAUCGAUA